rnacentral:rRNA from 1 species
CCUACGGGUGGCAGCAGUGAGGAAUAUUGGUCAAUGGGCGCAAGCCUGAACCAGCCAAGUCGCGUGAGGGAUGACGGUCCUAUGGAUGGUAAACCUCUUUUGUCGGGGAGCAAGGCCCGCCACGUGUGUCUGGCCGGAUGGUCCCCGCAGAAAAAGCCUCGGCUAACUCCGUUCCAGAAGCCGCGGUACUCCGGAGGAUGCGAGCGUUAUCCGGUUUUAUUGGGUUUAAAGGGGUCGUAGGCGGAAGGUUACGUCUGCGGUAAAAUGGCGGGGCUAAACCCCGGCCUGCCGUUGAAACUGGAAGGCGUGAGUGCGGGAGAAGUAUGCGGAAUUCGUGGUGUAGCGGUGAAAUGCAUAGAUAUCACGCAGAACCCCGAUUGCGAAGGCAGCAUACCGGAGCGCAACUGACGCUGAGGCACGAAAGCGUGGGGAUCGAACAGGAUUAGAUACCCGGGUAGUC